CGGCCCGCCGAGCGAGCGACCGAGCGGCGCACCGAGCGAGCGGCCCGGCCCCCCGAACGCCAUGCAGCGGUGGAGGUGGCUCCGGAGAGGCCAAGGCAUCCACCCCCAAAUCAGCAUCACUGUGAAGGCACCGGAGAUUUUCCCUUGCAAACAAGCAAACCUUGUUUCCCCAGACCCUGGUGAGCAGAUUCACCAAGUCCCUUCCUCCUGCCUGUGAAAUUUCACCAUCCCCGCUGAGAACAAGCAGCUGCAGGAGCUGGGAUGUUGCCUACGUAUGAGAGCAGAAACUUCAGGCUCAGAAACUGUGAGUCUGCAGAAUUCCCUACCAAUGUGGCUUUUUCAGACAUUGAAAUAAAAUCUACAUGGCUGUAAUUAGUCAAUAUUUGUAAAGGCUCUAAGAUUGCAGAAUAAAUGGCUGAGAGAAACUCGCAUGGUUAUUAGAUAAAUGCAUUAAUAAUAACGGCGCUGGCUGCUGAGGAGACGUCACUCCUAAUGAUGUACGAUUUAUUUCCUUAAGGGUGUGCUAAUAAACAAAACUCAUUUUUAGAA